rnacentral:rRNA from 1 species
CGGACGGGUGAGUAAUGUCUGGGAAACUGCCUGAUGGAGGGGGAUAACUACUGGAAACGGUAGCUAAUACCGCAUAACGUCGCAAGACCAAAGGAGGGGACCUUCGGGCCUCUUGCCAUCGGAUGUGCCCAGAUGGGAUUAGCUAGUAGGUGGGGUAACGGCUCACCUAGGCGACGAUCCCUAGCUGGUCUGAGAGGAUGACCAGCCACACUGGAACUGAGACACGGUCCAG